AAUAUUGCGCAAUGGGGGCAACCCUGACGCAGCAACGCCGCGUGAAGGAUGAAGGUCNNNGGAUUNUAAACUUCUUUGAUUGGNGAANAAAAUGACGGUACCCAAGGAACAAGCCACGGCUAACUACGUGCCAGCAGCCGCGGUAAUACGUAGGUGGCAAGCGUUGUCCGGAAUUACUGGGUGUAAAGGGCGUGUAGGCGGGAGAGCAAGUCAGAUGUGAAAUCCCAGGGCUUAACUCUGGAGCUGCAUCUGAAACUGUUCUUCUUGAGUGUCGGAGAGGAAAGUGGAAUUCCCAGUGUAGCGGUGAAAUGCGUAGAGAUUGGGAGGAACACCAGUGGCGAAGGCGGCUUUCUGGACGAUAACUGACGCUGAGGCGCGAAAGCGUGGGGAGCAAACAGG
rnacentral:rRNA from 1 species